rnacentral:rRNA from 1 species
CUACUAGGGUAUCUAAUCCUGUUUGCUCUCCACGCUUUCGCACCUCAGUGUCAGUAUCAGUCCAGGUGGUCGCCUUCGCCACUGGUGUUCCUUCCUAUAUCAACGCAUUUCAUCGCUACACAGGAAAUUCCACCACCCUCUACCAUACUCUAGCUCGUCAGUUUUGAAUGCAGUUCCCAGGUUGAGCCCGGGGAUUUCACAUCCAACUUAACGAACCACCUACGCGCGCUUUACGCCCAGUAAUUCCGAUUAACGCUUGCACCCUCUGUAUUACCGCGGCUGCUGGCAC